UGGGAAAAUUAGAAUAUUGUUUAUUUUAAUACACCAUUGUCAAUCUAAUAUUUUUUGGAAAGGUGCUUUUAUGUUAUGUAUUUGAAAUAUAUAUACACACAUACAUAUAUGUAUACAUAUAUAUAUACAUUUUUGGGUUUUUUUGUUUGUUUUGUUUUUUGAGACAGGGUCUUUGUUGCCCAGGCUGAUCUCAAACUCUCAGACUCAAGCAAUUCUCCCAUCUCAGCCUCCCAAAGUGCUGGGAUUACGGCAUGAGUCACCAUGUCCAGCCCUGAAAUUUUUCUAUUCAAGUACAUGUGUUAACACCCAUCCCUGUGACACUAGGUUCUAAUGCUAAAUUAGAUUUAAAAAAUCAGAGCCAGGAGCAAUGCCUCACACUUGUAAUCCCAGCAUUUUGAGAGGCCA
rnacentral:lncRNA from 1 species